rnacentral:lncRNA from 1 species
GGGGAAGCGGUCUGUCCAAACGGAAGAACGUGUGGUGUUCAACACAGGCUUUCCACAGAUUCUUACAUGCUCGGUAAUUCACCAUAUUGAAGCCCAGUAACGUUUCUCUGGAUUCAUGCAAUUCUUUCCUAAGUUGAACAAAAAACUGUUUGCAUUUAAAAGAAAUUUUUACAAUCUUCAACCAAGGAAAGGUGUUAAUUCGGACUCUGUUCUUAAA